GGAACAUUUGCCCUGAGCUAACAUCUGUUGCCAAUCUUUCUCUUUUUGCUUGAGGAAGAUUUGCCCUGAGCUUGCCUCUGUGCCAACCUCCCUGUAUUUUCUGUGUCCGCCAAUGAGUAAUGUAGGUCUGUUCCUGGGAACCGAACCCUGGCCGCUGAAGCACAGCACUCCAAACUCAACCACCAGGCCAUGGGGCCAGCCCCUAAGCUAUACAGUUUUAAUUUUCUAUGUGAACUGUUUGGCAUAGCAUUAUAUGUUGUUGUAUUUGCUGUGGAAUAUUUAUAUUGAAUUCUUACAAAGCUGUGGUCUCUAUUUCCUUUGAAUUGUAAGUCUAAUUUUAGCCUUUGUUACCCUAAUAUAACUGCCUUCCUCUCCCUCUCUCCCCUUCUAUUAGUUCUAAUUCUCUACCCUCCUCUUAGGAGGAAAAUAUUUACCUAAGUUUAGGAGGGUAAAUUUAAUUAAAAUUAAAGAUUCUUGCUUUGCAAAGCAUGCUCUGCGACCACGCACACAUGAUUCCCUGUGCUGACUCAUCAUUCUCUCCCAGGACCACCCUCUUCUCUAACAUCUUCCUACGUUAACCUUCCACCUCUGACUCUGAUUCACUUUACUCUGACUUUAGGUUCUGGGAGUACAUGCUAAGUAGUUUCUCUUUGUUGUGGGUUAAAUUAUGUCCCGUCAAUAGAUAUUCAAUUCGUAAUCCCUAGUACCUGUGAAUCUGAUGUUAUUUGGAAAUAGGGUCUUUGUGGAUGUCAGCAAGUUAAGAUGAGAUCUUCCUGGAUUAUGGUGGGCUCUAGUCCAAGGACUGAUGCUCUCACAAGAAGAGGGAAAUUUGGACAUAGACACACAGGGAGACUCCUUUGUGAAGAUGAAGGCAGAGAUUGGAGUGAUGCAUCUACAAGCCAAGGAACACCAAGGAUUGCCAGUAACCACUAGAAGCUAGAACAGAAGCACAGAGCUUGUUCUCCCUUAGAUCUUCCAGAAGGAACCAACCUGGCCAACAUCUUGGUUUUGGACUUCCAGCCUCCAGAAUGUUGCAGACUAAAUGAUUGCUUCAUUUGAAGCCUCCUGACUGCCAUGGAACCAUCUGCUAUGUGCUCCUGUGAAGGAAUAGCUUCUUAACUAUGCACUUUCAUCAUUGCUGUACAUUCUUCUAAGCUUGGCUCAAAGAAGAAGGGAUGGCAUUAUUUCUUAUGGAGUGUUACAGUGGCGACCGAGGUGACACUGAAGGAAAAUUCUGUGACAGUAUGUUAAGUAAGAUAUUACUGACAGCCCUGCUGAGCGGCGAUGCCGAACUGCACGUCGUGGAUCUCUUCUCACCCCUAUAGCCCCCACCAAAUGGUUUCCAUUUGCGGCAUGUGGAACCAGAGUGGAAAGAUGAAUGGAAAAUUAUGUUCUUUUUCAAAUUCACUUGUUUGCAUACCAUUAGUAGGCCUGAGAUGAAGGCUCAAAUUUGGCAAAAAGGUGCAUUUAUCAACCCAGUAUCAUACUGCUGUACCUUUCCAUAUGGUAGGUAAGAAAAUCAAGAGGUGCUGAUAGGCUUGAGCUCUAGACCAGAAUUUGCCACAAGUCACUUUUCUAUGGAUUGGAUUUCUUUGUAGAAAAGGCUGGAGCUGGACUAUAACAAAGUUUCUAGAGCCCUUUCUAGCUCUAACUUUCUAUGAUUCCGAAAGCCCUGAGCUUUGUGCUUUAAUAGCCCAGAAGACAAAGUGAGUAGAAUGCAGAAUAGAAACUUCUCUGUGUGCUACACAUAUUGAUGCAGCCUAGUAGGGAAAAGAUCAGUGGGUCACAAGUCAGGAGAUCUGGCCAUGGUUCAGCCUUGAAGCAAGUCAUUGACUCAAUCCAUGUCAGCUUCCUCACCUCCUUCACAAGGUUGUAUCCAAGCUCUAAUGGAAUUAUGCUACUGAAAGAUGAUUAAUUGCUCCAACAAAUAUUGCACAACUGCCCUAUGCUAGACACUAUGCCAAGUGCUGGGGAUUCAAUGGUGGGUAAAGCGUAGUCUUUGUUUUGGAGGAGGACAUCUAGUAGGGAAGAUAGAUAAGUGAAUGGGUAACUAUAGAGAAGUGUACCAGGGGCUUUGAUGGGCACAGGUACAGGGUGUGAUAAAAGUAUAGGGUGAUAUAAAAAGACAGGGUGAUAUAAAAGCAUAGAGGAGGAGCAGCUCACCCAGCUGGGCGCAUGGAAGGCUCCAGGAAGAAGUGGAUUCUA
ensembl:lncRNA